CCUACGGGAGGCAGCAGUGGGGAAUAUUGCACAAUGGGGGAAACCCUGAUGCAGCGACGCCGCGUGAGUGAAGAAGUAUUUCGGUAUGUAAAGCUCUAUCAGCAGGGAAGAACGAAAUCACGGUACCUGACUAAGAAGCCCCGGCUAACUACGUGCCAGCAGCCGCGGUAAUACGUAGGGGGCAAGCGUUAUCCGGCUAUACUGGGUGUAAAGGGAGCGUAGACGGCGAUGCAAGUCUGAAGUGAAAGGCGGGGGCCCAACCCCCGGAGUGCUUUGGAAACUGGAUGGCUGGAGUGCAGGAGAGGUGAGUGGAAUUCCUAGUGGAGCGGUGAAAUGCGUAGAUAGUAGGAGGAACACCAGUGGCGAAGGCGGCUUAAUGGACUGUAACUGACGUUGAGGCUCGAAAGCGUGGGGAGCAAACAGGAUUAGAUACCCGAGUAGUC
rnacentral:rRNA from 1 species